GCCGAAGUGGUGGAACUGGUAGACACGCUACCUUGAGGGGGUAGUGAGCUUAUGCUCGUGGAGGUUCGAAUCCUCUCUUCGGCACCA
rnacentral:tRNA from 1 species